rnacentral:rRNA from 1 species
AGUGAACGCUGGCGGUAGGCCUAACACAUGCAAGUCGAACGGCAGCACAGUAAGAGCUUGCUCUUACGGGUGGCGAGUGGCGGACGGGUGAGGAAUACAUCGGAAUCUACUUUUUCGUGGGGGAUAACGUAGGGAAACUUACGCUAAUACCGCAUACGACCUACGGGUGAAAGCAGGGGAUCUUCGGACCUUGCGCGAUUGAAUGAGCCGAUGUCGGAUUAGCUAGUUGGCGGGGUAAAGGCCCACCAAGGCGACGAUCCGUAGCUGGUCUGAGAGGAUGAUCAGCGACACUGGAAGUGAGACACGGUCCAGACUCCUACGGGAGGCAGCAGUGGGGAAUAGUGGAAAAUGGGCGCAAGCCUGAUCCAGCCAUACCGCGUGGGUGAAGAAGGCCUUCGGGUUGUAAAGCCCUUUUGUUGGGAAAGAAAAGCAGCAGGUUAAGACCCCGCUGUUCUGACGGUACCCAAAGAAUAAGCACCGGCUAACUUCGUG